rnacentral:rRNA from 1 species
AGAAUCAACGCUGGCGGCGUGCCUAACACAUGCAAGUCGAACGAGAAAGGGUAGCAAUACCUGAGUAAAGUGGCGCACGGGUGAGUAACACGUGACUAACCUACCUUUUAGUGGGGGAUAACCUAGGGAAACCUGGGCUAAUACCGCAUAAUACCUACGGGUCAAAGCAGCAAUGCGCUGAAAGAGGGGGUCGCGGUCGAUUAGUUAGUUGGCAGGGUAAUGGCCUACCAAGACUGUGAUCGAUAUCCGGCCUGAGAGGGCGCACGGACACACUGGAACUGAAACACGGUCCAGACUCCUACGGGAGGCAGCAGUGGGGAAUUUUGCGCAAUGGGGGAAACCCUGACGCAGCAACGCCGCGUGGAGGAUGAAGUCCCUUGGGACGUAAACUCCUUUCGAUCGGGACGAUAAUGACGGUACCGGAAGAAGAACGCCCGGCUAACUUCGCGCCAGCAGCCGC